rnacentral:rRNA from 1 species
UACGUAGGGGCAAGCGUUGUCCGGAAUCAUUGGGCGUAAGCGCGUGUAGGCGGCUGAGUAAGUCUGCUCUGAAAGCCCGGGGCUCAACCCCGGGAGGCGGGUGGAUACUGCUCAGCUCGAGUCCGGAAGAGGAGUGUGGAAUUCCUGGUGUAGCGGUGAAAUGCGCAGAUAUCAGGAGGAACACCAAUGGCGAAGGCAGCACUCUGGGACGGUAC